rnacentral:lncRNA from 1 species
GAUUUAACCCAGCCGCAGGAGAGCUCCUAUGGGGGCACGUCCAGAAAAGCCCCAAAGGGGGAUUGGAGGAAAGCACGUGGAUCUACACUCUUUCCAGCACCGGCAAAGGUCAGGCAAUAAUCGAAUCACUCUUCCUCGGCUUUCAUUUCAUCAACUGCACUGAUGAGGAUGGGGGAGGGGGCAUGAAGGAAGGGAGCGGUAGGAAGUGGUCCAUCCCUCCUCCUAAGGAGGGGGAGCAGGCUGGACAAGGACAUUCCAUUCUAUUUGCUACUCUCACAGAAGCCUUGGGAAAGAACAAAGAAAGAAUGAAAAGGAGACAGAUAUGCUGGGCACGCGCAUUCACAAAUACACGUGCUCACGCUCACACACACCCCCA